rnacentral:rRNA from 1 species
UACGAAGGGAGCUAGCGUUGUUCGGAAUCACUGGGCGUAAAGCGCACGUAGGCGGACGUGUCAGUCAGGGGUGAAAUCCCGGAGCUCAACUUCGGAACUGCCUUUGAUACAGCACGUCUUGAGUCCGGAAGAGGUGGGUGGAAUUCCUAGUGUAGAGGUGAAAUUCGUAGAUAUUAGGAAGAACACCGAUGGCGAAGGCAGCCCCCUGGGCCGAUACUGACGCUCAUGCACGAAAGCGUGGGGAGCAAACAGG